UUUCAGGGUAUAGUCCCUCCUUGUCCCUUUCCUUGGGACCUCAGCUACCUUUUUCCUAACAAGAGAGAAGUCACAUAAAGAAGGCAGAGCAAAUUCUGAAGCCUUAGAGCUGGCAUCCCACUCACUUGGCUCUGGCAGGCAGAGCUGUUUUCCACCAAGCACUGAAAGUACAGAUACUGGCCAGGGAGGAAAGAAGAAUUAGGCCUCCAGCUCCCCAGGAGUCCCUAGCGGCCCACACUGAUGUUGCAGGUCUUGCAGCUGGGAUCUUUCUUGGCAUCGGCAGUGGACAGGCUCAUGAGCUGGUGCCCACUGAUCUCUCCCAGUGUGCCCAGGGACAGGUCAACCGGCUCGGUGUAGAUGAUCUCCAGGAUGAGGUCCUGAGCAUGGCGGAAGAUCAGCUCCCCAUCCUCCACACUGCAGGUCAGGAACUUGUUGCAGGCAAUGUCCAAGAGGGGUAGACGGUCACGGCAGAAGCGGUCCCCCAGGGAGCCCUUGGGUGCCAGUACCAGGAUGGCAUAGUGGUAGGCUGUGUACAUACAGUAGAAGUCCGCAAAGUAGAGAUUGGUGCUGGGGUUGAAGAGGCGCUGGGCGGGGAUCUGGAAGCGCCAGCGGCCGUAAGGGGAGUCUUGUGGGGGCUGGCCUGUGUUGAACUCCGUGUUGCAGCUGAAGAAGACACCAUGCAGCAUGCCACUGGUAGGGGAGCCGUGGCUGCCACUGUUGUCCUUCAGGUAAGGCUGCAGCACAUUCCCACAGUGGGUCCUGCCCACCGGGAGGAACGCCAAAGAGAAGGGAAAAACGCCCUGGGUUAGCUCUGCUGGAGCCUGGCGGCAAUGUGUGGUCGAGAAGAAAAAAGAGCCAGCCCAACUCCUGCAUUCCUAUUAGCCUGCGGCCCCCACGAGUCACAGACAUUCAGUCCUUUCAGGCUGCCUCCCUCACCAGACUCUGAAGAUGAAUAACCUCUGCCUCAGCCUAUGUGUCCCGGCCCCUCAUAAGGAGCCCGGCACAGGAUGGAGGAAGAGCUGGGAAGGGAGAAGCCCUAACAGGUCUGUCUUGCCCUACCUGGCAUGCUGGAAGUACUCCUUGUGAUGGUUGCGGUAGAACACGGAGAAGCGGAGCAUGCGGCCAGCGAUCUGCUCAGCCUUCUCUUGCAGCUGGGCAAGGUGCUCCUUGGCAUAAUCUGUAAGAGUCCAGGCAGGGUGAGGCAAGCAAUGGGUCUGCUGCAGGAUCACUUCUUCCUCUUUAUACCACCCACCAAGCCCGCAGACAACCUUAUCCUCUGGACCAACAAGGGAGCUUCUGCAAUAGCCUGGACUCAGAUGGGAUAGGCCAGCUGGCCUUGGCAGGGAACAUGGAGAACUGCUUGUUGUCUGUUCUCACUUCACUUCUGGGUCAGCCUUGCCAGAGGCUCAGGGUGCUCUGAGUCCAAAACGGACAGAGGAAUGCCUGUUAUCACAUUAGGAGCUUCAAGACUGUCAUCCAAGUGAAAAGAGGGCCCAUAGGAAAAAUGAAGACGUGAGAGGGACAAGGUCCUUUGGGAGGGCCCUUCAAACCCAGGAGAGAGUCUGCCACCCACAGCUAGUGUGGUAGCUAAUUGUAAGUCUAAGUGGGGGCUACUGAUGCAUCAAAGAGCAGAGCCUGGGCCUCAGGUCAGUGUUCAAUAGAAGAGGGGCUAAGGCACUGGCUGUCUACUUGAGCCUCUAUUUAGGAAAAAUAAAAAGGCCAAUACAGGAAAAUGUCUGAGACUGGACCAGGGGUCUUGGAACCUAGACAGAGUUGUCACUCUACACAGUGCCUGGGAACAAAUUAGAGGUAAACACCCUUCACUUAUUGUAGCCACUGCAUUUCUGUGUGCUUGGUCUCUGGAAAGAGCAGGGUAGACCCAAUUACAGCAUUUCCAGAUCCUCAAUUUAAAUUAAACACCCACUGCAUGUGCAGUUUGGGGAGGGGAGCACAAACCAAGACGCCAUUCCUACAAGGAGCAGGAGUGCCUCUCAAGUACAGUUAUGGCAACUCAAGGAGACUAGGGGCACAGAUUUUGGCAGAGUACGGAGCCAGCAGCCUUGGAGGCCCCAGGGCAGAGAAUGUUCUCUGCCCCUUCCUUGUGACAGAGAGCAAUCUGGAGCAGAUCUCACAUGGACACCAAAGGGAUAGAAUAUUUUGGGGCAGCUUGUCACGGUCUAUCAGUGACAAGCAUACACAAAGUGAUGUUUGGCUCUGCUUAAGAGACCCUUCUAAGACCAUCAGAUGGGAACCAUUUUCCCAGACUAAGGAGAUACUUAGGACAAACAAAAUGUUACUGUGCUAACAAAUGACCACAGGUAGAUUAUUGAUGAACAAAACAUGAUCUAGCCAAUACAGUGGAAUACUGCCUAACCUUAUAUGGGAAGAAAAGUCUGGUAAAUGAUAUGGUACCUAUGCAUCUCACUGAUAUGCUGAUAAAAGAAAUAACCCAGUCACCAAAGGACAAAUACUUGAUCUCAUUCAUACGAGCAACACUGCAUAGUCAAAGAUAAAAACAGAACAGAGGUAAGCACGGCCCAGAGGAGAAAAAAAAUUGGAAGUGAGGGCUCCGAAGGUAUAGCGUCCUGGCUUUGCAAAAUGGAGAAGUUCUGAAGAUCGGCUGCACAAUAACCAUUUAACACUUCUGGACUUAGAUAUGGUUCAGAUGGUCAGUUUUAUGCUACAUCUAUUUACCACAAUGACAAAUAUAUACUCUUGGGGCUGAAGAGAUGACUUAGCAGUUAAGAGCACUUGCUGUUCUUGCAGAGGACUGGAGUCUAAUUCCCAGCAUCAAUGCAGGGUGGCUCAGAACCACCUAUAACUCUAGUUCCAGGGGACCCAAUACUCUCUUCUCAUCCCCCUAAG